rnacentral:rRNA from 1 species
AGCGAACGCUGGCGGCAGGCCUAACACAUGCAAGUCGAACGGGUUCCUUCGGGGACCAGUGGCAGACGGGUGAGUAACACGUGGGAACGUACUCUUCAGUUCGGAACAACCCAGGGAAACUUGCGCUAAUACGGGAUACGCCCUUUGGGGGAUGGAUUUAUCGCUGAAGGAUCGGCUCGCGUCUGAUUAGCUAGUUGGUGAGGUAACGGCUCACCAAGGCGACGAUCAGUAGCUGGUCUGAGAGGAUGAUCAGCCACACUGGGACGGAGAAACGGCCCAGACUCCACCGGGAGUAAGCAGUGGGGAAUAUUGGACAAUGGGCGAAAGCCUGAUCCAGCCAUGCCGCGUGAGUGAUGAAGGCCCUAGGGUUGUAAAGCUCUUUCGGCGGGGACGAUAAUGACGGUACCCGCAGAAGAAGCCCCGGCUAACUUCGUGCCAGCAGCCGCCGUAACAC